AAAGGAAUUGACGGGGGGACCGCACAAGCGGCGGAGCAUGCGGAUUAAUUCGAUGCGACGCGAAGAACCUUACCAGGGCUUGACAUGGGCCGGUCGUCCGCGGAGACGUGGGCUCCCCUUCUUGGGGCCGGUCUGCAGGUGGUGCAUGGUUGUCGUCAGCUCGUGUCGUGAGAUGUUGGGUUAAGUCCCGCAACGAGCGCAACCCCUAUAUUCUGUUGCCAACAGGUAAAGCUGGGAACUCAGGAUAGACUGCCGCGGAGAACGCGGAGGAAGGCGGGGAUGACGUCAAGUCAUCAUGCCCCAUAUGACCUGGGCUACACACGUACUACAAUGGGAUGUACAGAGGGCAGCGAAAGAGCGAUCUGGAGCGAACCCCAGAAAACAUCUCCCAGUUCGGAUUGCAGGCUGAAACCCGCCUGCAUGAAGAUGGAAUCGCUAGUAAUCGCAGGUCAGCAUACUGCGGUGAAUACGUUCCCGGGCCUUGUACACACCGCCCGUCACACCACGGAAGUCAUUCACACCCGAAGCCGGUGAAAGCCGUCGAAGGUGGGGGCGAUGACCGGGGUGAAGUCGUAACAAGGUAGCCG
rnacentral:rRNA from 1 species